UACGUAGGGGGCAAGCGUUAUCCGGAUUUACUGGGUGUAAAGGGAGCGCAGACGGAACUGCAAGUCUGAUGUGAAAGCCCGGGGCUCAACCCCGGAACUGCAUUGGAAACUGUACAGCUUGAGUGUCGGAGAGGUAAGCGGAAUUCCUAGUGUAGCGGUGAAAUGCGUAGAUAUUAGGAGGAACACCGGUGGCGAAGGCGGCUUACUGGACGAUGACUGACGUUGAGGCUCGAAAGCGUGGGGAGCAAACAGGAUUAGAUACCCCUGUAGUCCCU
rnacentral:rRNA from 1 species